UUUUCUUAGUAGUCAUUUAAUUAUUUUAUCUUACAUUUAUUCAAAAGAUAUUUAUCAAGAUUUAAUCUACAUUAUUUGAACAGAUAUUUAUGGAGCCAGGAAGUUUUAUUUGGUGGUGGAGAAGGUGGAAGGUAAAAAUAAGAUCUGGUUCUGGACACAAAAAUAUACCUAAUAUAUUAGAGGAGAUAAGGAGGGGGCAAAAAUAACUGUAGCAUAAAGUCAAAUACCAUAAGAAAUUUAAGUUUUAAAAUGUGUGUCUUUUGUUUGUAUGUGUAUGUAACUAUAAAAGUUUUGGCAGGUAGAAAAAGGGAAGAUUUCAUCUGAGGUUGACAUCUAGAUUGCCGUUUGAAGGAAAGAACAUUUCACCAAGGGGGAAAAGUGGAGAAGCCUUUUGACCACAUGAAGGCAGCAGCAUCACCAAGGCGUGAUUAACCAAAUUCAUUUAAGAAUGGAAUUGGCUCACUGAUUUUGGGGACAAAGAAUUCCCAUGAUCUGCCUGGUGAAAGCUGUAGAACCAGGAAAGCCAGUGGUGUAAUGUAAUUCAGUCCAAGUCAGAAGGCCUGAAGACGAGGGGAGCUGAUGGUGUUAAGUCUCAGUCCAAAGGUCUGGGAACCAAGGGGCCAGUAGUAUAAAUCUUGGUCUGAAUGUGAAAGCCUGAGAACCAAGGCAGGAGAGGAUGGAUGUCUCAGCUCAAGCAGAGAGAGCAAACUUGCCCUUCCUCCACCUUUUGGUUCCAUUCACGUCCUCAGUGGAUUGGAUUAUGUCCUCUAUCCUUAAAGACAAUCUUCUUUACUCUGUCUAGGGAUUCAAAUACUAAUCUCUUCCAGAGAGUCCCUCAUAGACAAACUCAUAAAUAAUGUUUUACCAGCUAUCUGGACAUCUCUAAGCCCAGUCAAGAUGACACAUAAAAUUAACCAUCACAUACUCUAUAGUAGUAGUUAAUUAACUAAAAAUCUCUUUGAGUUCAGAGUGAAUUAUUUGGGUCUGCAAAUUUAAACAGCAGCAGUUAAUCAAGUAUUACUAUUUGCAUUAUCAUAAAUCUGAAGUAAAUCAAGUCCUGUAGAGUUUGUGUCUGUACUGCCACACCUAUAAAGUAUUAAUAGUCACUAGCCAGUUAGGUAGUUAUUAGGAAAGACUAAUAAGACUUUUCAUUCUAAAGUUGUUAAAUUUCCCAUUUUGAGGAGUUGGAGUGGGAAAUGGAGGAAGUGUUCAGUAUUGAGGUACAGUAAUUUGAGUGACCUAAUCAUUACGUCUUUUCCAUUAUUAAUUAAAAUAACUUUGAAAUUUUUGUUUUCAAGAAUCAGAUUUGUGUGAUAGUAAGUAUUCAUUCGGGAAUAGCCUUUUAUGGAAUUUUGGAAAUACUAUUUUGAUCUUUGGCAGGCAGAAUCAGGUAACUCACUAAGACUUGAGUAAUAGAAAAUAAAAUCACUAGUACUAAUAUGUCUGAUAGCUGCUUUGUGAAAAAAACCACCCAAUUUUAGUAUCAUAAAACAACAACCACUUUAUUAGGCUCAAAAAAUCUACGGGCCAAGACAGGACAGACUGGAUAUGCUUUAUCUAUUCUUGAUUAUGUCUGGGGCCUUAAUCAGGAAACUCAAAUGGCUGGAGGUGACUAGUGUUGCUAGAGGGUAGAAAAAUCUGGAAGCUGCUUCAUUUAUGUAUGUUUCCUGGGUGGGAUAACUCCAUGUCUGGGCUCAGCUGUGACUAUCAACAGAGCGUGUCCUGUGGC